rnacentral:rRNA from 1 species
GACGAAAGUCUGACGGAGCAACGCCGCGUGAGCGAAGAAGGCCUUCGGGUCGUAAAGCUCUGUUGUUAGGGAAGAACAAGUACCGGAGUAACUGCCGGUACCUUGACGGUACCUAACCAGAAAGCCACGGCUAACUACGUGCCAGCAGCCGCGGUAAUACGUAGGUGGCAAGCGUUGUCCGGAAUUAUUGGGCGUAAAGCGCGCGCAGGCGGUCUCUUAAGUCUGAUGUGAAAGCCCCCGGCUCAACCGGGGAGGGUCAUUGGAAACUGGGAGACUUGAGUGCAGAAGAGAAGAGCGGAAUUCCACGUGUAGCGGUGAAAUGCGUAGAGAUGUGGAGGAACACCAGUGGCGAAGGCGGCUCUUUGGUCUGUAACUGACGCUGAGGCGCGAAAGCGUGGGGAGCGAACAGGAUUAGAUACCCUGGUAGUCCACGCCGUAAACGAUGAGUGCUAAGUGUUAGAGGGGUUUCCGCCCUUUAGUGCUGCAGCAAACGCAUUAAGCACUCCGCCUGGGGAGUAC